rnacentral:rRNA from 1 species
GGGUUGUGAGGUUAAGCGACUAAGCGUACACGGUGGAUGCCACGGCAGUCAGAGGCGAUGAAGGGCGUGCUAAUCUGCGAUAAGCGCCGGUAAGGUGAUAUGAACCGUUAUAACCGGCGAUACCCGAAUGGGAAACCCAGUGUGAUUCGUCACACUAUCAUUAACUGAAUCCAUAGGUUAAUGAGGCGAACCGGGGAACUGAAACAUCUAAGUACCCCGAGGAAAGAAAUCAACCGAGAUUCCCCCAGUAGCGGCGAGCGAACGGGGAGGAGCCCAGAGCCUGAAUCAGCAUGUGUGUUAGUGGAAGCGUCUGGAAAGGCGCGCGAUACAGGGUGACAGCCCCGUACACAAAAGCGCAUGUGCUGUGAGCUCGAUGAGUAGGGCGGGACACGUGGUAUCCUGUCUGAAUAUGGGGGACCAUCCUCCAAGGCUAAAUACUCCUGACUGACCGAUAGUGAACCAGUACCGUGAGGGAAAGGCGAAAGAACCCCGGCGAGGGAGUGAAAAAGAACCUGAAACCGUGUACGUACAAGCAGUGGGAGCACCCUUCGGGGUGUGACUGCGUACCUUUGUAUAAUGGGUCAGCGACUUAUAUUCUGUAGCAAGGUUAACCGUAUAGGGGAGCCGCAGGGAAACCGAGUCUUAACCGGGCGUUAAGUUGCAGGGUAUAGACCCGAAACCCGGUGAUCUAGCCAUGGGCAGGUUGAAGGUUGGGUAACACUAACUGGAGGACCGAACCGACUAAUGUUGAAAAAUUAGCGGAUGACCUGUGGCUGGGGGUGAAAGGCCAAUCAAACCGGGAGAUAGCUGGUUCUCCCCGAAAGCUAUUUAGGUAGCGCCUCGUGAAUUCAUCUCCGGGGUAGAGCACUGUUUCGGCUAGGGGGCCAUCCCGGCUUACCAACCCGAUGCAAACUGCGAAUACCGGAGAAUGUUAUCACGGGAGACACACGGCGGGUGCUAACGUCCGUCGUGAAGAGGAAACAACCCAGACCGCCAGCUAAGGUCCCAAAGUCAUGGUUAAGUGGGAAACGAUGUGGGAAGGCCCAGACAGCCGGAUGUUGGCUUAGAAGCAGCCAUCAUUUAAAGAAAGCGUAAUAGCUCACUGGUCGAGUCGGCCUGCGCGGAAGAUGUAACGGGGCUAAACCAUGCACCGAAGCUGCGGCAGCGACGCUUAUGCGUUGUUGGGUAGGGAGCGUUCUGUAAGCCUGCGAAGGUGGCCUGUGAGGGUUGCUGGAGGUAUCAGAAGUGCGAAUGCUGACAUAAGUAACGAUAAAGCGGGUGAAAAGCCCGCUCGCCGGAAGACCAAGGGUUCCUGUCCAACGUUAAUCGGGGCAGGGUGAGUCGACCCCUAAGGCGAGGCCGAAAGGCGUAGUCGAUGGGAAACGGGUUAAUAUUCCCGUACUUGGUGUUACUGCGAAGGGGGACGGAGAAGGCUAUGUUGGCCGGGCGACGGUUGUCCCGGUUUAAGCGUGUAGGUGUGUUUUCCCGGGUAAAUCCGGUUCACUUUAACACUGAGGCGUGACGACGAGGCACUACGGUGCUGAAGCAACAAAUGCCCUGCUUCGGGAAAAGCCUCUAAGCAUCAGGUAACAUCAAAUCGUACCCCAAACCGACACAGGUGGUCAGGUAGAGAAUACCAAGGCGCUUGAGAGAACUCGGGUGAAGGAACUAGGCAAAAUGGUGCCGUAACUUCGGGAGAAGGCACGCUGACACGUAGGUGAAGUGAUUUACUCAUGGAGCUGAAGUCAGUCGAAGAUACCAGCUGGCUGCAACUGUUUAUUAAAAACACAGCACUGUGCAAACACGAAAGUGGACGUAUACGGUGUGACGCCUGCCCGGUGCCGGAAGGUUAAUUGAUGGGGUCAGCGCAAGCGAAGCUCCUGAUCGAAGCCCCGGUAAACGGCGGCCGUAACUAUAACGGUCCUAAGGUAGCGAAAUUCCUUGUCGGGUAAGUUCCGACCUGCACGAAUGGCGUAAUGAUGGCGGGCUGUCUCCACCCGAGACUCAGUGAAAUUGAACUCGCUGUGAAGAUGCAGUGUACCCGCGGCAAGACGGAAAGACCCCGUGAACCUUUACUAUAGCUUGACACUGAACAUUGAGCCUUGAUGUGUAGGAUAGGUGGGAGGCUUUGAAGUGUGGACGCCAGUCUGCAUGGAGCCGACCUUGAAAUACCACCCUUUAAUGUUUGAUGUUCUAACGUGGACCCGUAAUCCGGGUUGCGGACAGUGUCUGGUGGGUAGUUUGACUGGGGCGGUCUCCUCCUAAAGAGUAACGGAGGAGCACGAAGGUUGGCUAAUCUGGUCGGACAUCAGGAGGUUAGUGCAAUGGCAUAAGCCAGCUUGACUGCGAGCGUGACGGCGCGAGCAGGUGCGAAAGCAGGUCAUAGUGAUCCGGUGGUUCUGAAUGGAAGGGCCAUCGCUCAACGGAUAAAAGGUACUCCGGGGAUAACAGGCUGAUACCGCCCAAGAGUUCAUAUCGACGGCGGUGUUUGGCACCUCGAUGUCGGCUCAUCACAUCCUGGGGCUGAAGUAGGUCCCAAGGGUAUGGCUGUUCGCCAUUUAAAGUGGUACGCGAGCUGGGUUUAGAACGUCGUGAGACAGUUCGGUCCCUAUCUGCCGUGGGCGCUGGAGAACUGAGGGGGGCUGCUCCUAGUACGAGAGGACCGGAGUGGACGCAUCACUGGUGUUCGGGUUGUCAUGCCAAUGGCACUGCCCGGUAGCUAAAUGCGGAAGAGAUAAGUGCUGAAAGCAUCUAAGCACGAAACUUGCCCCGAGAUGAGUUCUCCCCGAGACUUAGAGUCUCCUGAAGGAACGUUGAAGACGACGACGUUGAUAGGCCGGGUGUGUAAGCGCAGCGAUGCGUUGAGCUAACCGGUACUAAUGAACCGUGAGGCUUAACCUUACAACGCCGAAG